GAUGAACGCUGGCGGCGUGCCUAAUACAUGCAAGUCGAGCGAACAGACGAGGAGCUUGCUCCUCUGAUGUUAGCGGCGGACGGGUGAGUAACACGUGGAUAACCUACCUAUAAGACUGGGAUAACUUCGGGAAACCGGAGCUAAUACCGGAUAACAUGUUGAACCGCAUGGUUCAACAGUGAAAGACGGUCUUGCUGUCACUUAUAGAUGGAUCCGCGCCGCAUUAGCUAGUUGGUAAGGUAACGGCUUACCAAGGCAACGAUGCGUAGCCGACCUGAGAGGGCGAUCGGCCACACUGGAACUGAGACACGGUCCAGACUCCUACGGGAGGCAGCAGUAGGGAAUCUUCCGCAAUGGGCGAAAGCCUGACGGAGCAACGCCGCGUGAGUGAAGAAGGUCUUCGGAUCGUAAAACUCUGUUAUUAGGGAAGAACAAAUGUGUAAGUAACUAUGCACGUCUUGACGGUACCUAAUCAGAAAGCCACGGCUAACUACGU
rnacentral:rRNA from 1 species